CAGGUGCUGCAGAAUGGCUCGAGCUCGACCGGCCGCUUCUCCCCAAAAUCAUCGAGGAGCGCCACCAGCGCCGCCGACGGCCUCCAUCCCCUAAUCCCGCCGCCGACUACUACGGCGCCGGCGACGGCGAAGACCCAACCACGAUCUACGCAGUCUCUGGUACUGGACUGGACGCCACCCCCUACACCCUUCUACUGGUACUGGACCGGCGUGGACUGGCCGACUGGAGAUGAUGGGUGGCCGCUACAAUCGCACGAACUAUUCGACCUACCUGAACGACGAACCAAUGCCUGACGCCGCAUCGGAAAAGGAGCAGGGCAAUGAGUAUUUCAAACAGAAGAAGUUUGCCGAAGCGAUCGAGUGCUACUCGAGGAGCAUCGCUUUGUCGCCCACGGCUGUUUCCUUCGCAAACCGAGCUAUGGCGUACCUUAAACUAAGAAGAUUUGAGGAGGCAGAGAAUGACUGCACUGAAGCUCUGAAUCUGGAUGACCGUUAUGUUAAAGCAUACUCACGCAGAAUUACUGCAAGGAAAGGACUUGGGAAGCUUAAGGAAGCAAUGGAUGAUGCUGAAUUUGCGGUAAGUGUCGAUGCUAACAAUCCAGAACUGAGGAAACAAUAUUCUGAGAUAAAGGCCCUACUCAUGGAGAAAAUGUCCAAGAGAAGUUCAGUUCAAGCUAAACAUACAAUUUCUGAAUUUGAUAAAGCUGGAGAUAGAAAAGAUAUCACUUCUCACCCAGCAACUGGUCUCCAGAAGGACAGUUUCAUGGAAGUUGAUUCGUCUGGGAGAUCUGGGAUCAAAGAGUUUGCAGGUGGUGCGUCGAAAGGAGGAUCCGGUGCAAGCCUCAAAGACAAUAAUAUGCUGCAACCUCGAGAUGCUAAACAGAAGCCUGCACCAGAAAUAUCAGUACAAGAUCUUGCAUCACGCGCUGCUUCACGGUAUAUGUCCAGCACUGUAAAAAGUGUGAAGACACCAAAGACAGCUUAUGAUUUUGAGGUUUCUUGGAGAGCUAUCUCUGACGACCCUGCCCAGCAAAUACAGUUGUUAAAGUCGAUUCCACCAGAGAGCCUACCGGAGAUUUUUAAGAAUGCACUUUCAUCUGCUUUUCUGAUUGAUAUCGUUAAGUGCACAGCCUCAAUCUACCGGGAUGAUGCGGUGUUAGCAGUUAACAUUUUGGAGAAUUUGGCAAAAGUUUCUCGCUUUGACUUGAUAAUCAUGUGCCUCUCGCCCAUGCAUAAAUCUGAGCUGCGGAAGGUCUGGGGUCAAACAUUCCUAGUUGAAAAUGCGUCGCGAGAUCAAGUUGAAGCCCUCAAACUGCUGCAAGCCAAAUACGUUCAAGGAGGAUGGCAUGAUGACAUGUUCACUUUCCGCUAAUGAUGAUGAUGUUGUGAAGACGACUCCCUAGAAAUACUGAACGAUAUUGGAAUACUCUUCUUGUAGAGUGAACGAGCUGCGGAAGGUCUGGGGUCAAACAUUCCUAGUUGAAAAUGCGUCGCGAGAUCAAGUUGAAGCCCUCAAACUGCUGCAAGCCAAAUACGUUCAAGGAGGAUGGCAUGAUGACAUGUUCACUUUCCGCUAAUGACGAUGAUGUUGCGAAGACGAUUCCCUAGAAAUACUGAACGAUAUUGGAAUACUCUUCUUGUAGAGUGAACGGUAAAUUUA